GACGAACGCUGGCGGCGUGCUUAACACAUGCAAGUCGAACGGAAAGGCCCCCUUGUGGGGUACUCGAGUGGCGAACGGGUGAGUAACACGUGAGUAACCUACCCUUGACUUUGGGAUAACUUCAGGAAACUGGGGCUAAUACCGGAUAGGAGCUCCUGCUGCAUGGUGGGGGUUGGAAAGUUUCGGCGGUUGGGGCUGGACUCGCGGCUUAUCAGCUUGUUGGUGGGGUAGUGGCUCACCAAGGCUUUGACUGGUAGCCGGCCUUGGAAGGUGACCGGCCACCAGGGUACUGCGAGAGGGCGCAGUGUGGUAUGGUAGGCAGCAGUCGGGAGUAUGACACAGUGGGAGGGAGCCUGUGGCAGCAGCGCUGGGUUCGUGAUGCCGUCUUGUGGGGUGUGAACCGCUGUCGCUUGUGACGAAGCGUGAGUGACGGUAACGAGAGAAGAAGCACCGGCUAACUACGUG
rnacentral:rRNA from 1 species